rnacentral:rRNA from 1 species
ACACGUAGGUGGCGAGCGUUACUCGGAAUCACUGGGCAUAAAGCGCGCGCAGGCGGCCAUGUAAGUCGGAUGUGAAAUCCCACGGCUCAACCGUGGAACUGCGUUCGAUACUGCGUGGCUGGAGGCUGGUAGGGGAGAGUGGAAUUCCACAUGUAGCGGUGAAAUGCGUAGAUAUGUGGAGGAACAUCAGUGGCGAAGGCGACUUUCUGGAUCAAUACUGACGCUGAGGUGCGAAAGCGUGGGGAGCAAACAGGAUUAGAAACCCCAGUAGUCC